CUCUACUGUGACUGCAAUGCUCUGGAUUCGGGGAGAGGAACAGACUGGGGGUCACCUGGAGACCGUCUCUGAGCUUUCUGGUUACCCAGAAAGGGCUUAGGGUCCAAGAAGAGGGUGGCAGGUCUAAAGAGGACAUGGCCUCUCUCCCUGGGCCACCAGAGUGCCCUGCUGGUCUGGGGCUCAGGCCGGGCACCCUCUGCCUCUCAAGCUGUGUGCAGCCCCCAGCUCUUGCAGUUGCCACAGGCUCUUGGCCUCCUCUCCAGGGUGCAGCCGGAUGCUGUGAGGAAGCUCCAGAGGACACAGCAGCCCCAUCUCCACCAAGGGCAGGGAGGGGGCCAGCAUCCCAGGAGGGGCCGCCUGUACUCAGGCCAUGACGUCGGCCUUUUCAGGAAUGACCCCUCAGGGACUGCAAGGACCCUUUGAGAAGCAACACUGGGCAGUUGUUGUUGCAGCAACACUGGCUCCCGGUAGCCCGGCUCAAGGUCUGGCCUCUGUUGCUUGAAACUUCAUGGCUUGGGCAGCUCACUGAACUUGUCUGUGCCUUACUUUCUGCCGGUGUGAAGUAAGGAAAAUCAUGGUACCCACCUCCCAGGGUCAUUGUGAGGACUGAAAUAAAAAUAAAUUUAUUAUACAAAAGCUUUA